UACGUAGGGUGCAAGCGUUGUCCGGAAUUAUUGGGCGUAAAGAGCUCGUAGGCGGUUUGUCGCGUCGAAUGUGAAAACCCGGGGCUCAACUCCGGGCCUGCAUUCGAUACGGGCAGACUAGAGUUCGGUAGGGGAGACUGGAAUUCCUGGUGUAGCGGUGAAAUGCGCAGAUAUCAGGAGGAACACCGGUGGCGAAGGCGGGUCUCUGGGCCGAAACUGACGCUGAGGAGCGAAAGCGUGGGGAGCAAACAGG
rnacentral:rRNA from 1 species